rnacentral:rRNA from 1 species
UACGAAGGGGGCUAGCGUUGUUCGGAAUUACUGGGCGUAAAGCGCGCGCAGGCGGUCCUUCAAGUCAGAGGUGAAAGCCCAGAGCUCAACUCUGGAACGGCCUUUGAGACUAGAGGACUUGGGUACGGGAGAGGUGAGUGGAAUUCCGAGUGUAGAGGUGAAAUUCGUAGAUAUUCGGAAGAACACCAGUGGCGAAGGCGACUCACUGGCCCAUUACUGACGCUGAGGCGCGAAAGCGUGGGGAGCAAACAGG